rnacentral:rRNA from 1 species
AGUGAACGCUGGCGGUAGGCCUAACACAUGCAAGUCGAACGGCAGCACAGUAAGAGCUUGCUCUUACGGGUGGCGAGUGGCGGACGGGUGAGGAAUACAUCGGAAUCUACCUUUUCGUGGGGGAUAACGUAGGGAAACUUACGCUAAUACCGCAUACGGCCUACGGGUGAAAGCAGGGGAUCUUCGGACCUUGCGCGAUUGAAUGAGCCGAUGUCGGAUUAGCUAGUUGGCGGGGUAAAGGCCCACCAAGGCGACGAUCCGUAGCUGGUCUGAGAGGAUGAUCAGCCACACUGGAACUGAGACACGGUCCAGACUCCUACGGGAGGCAGCAGUGGGGAAUAUUGGACAAUGGGCGCAAGCCUGAUCCAGCCAUACCGCGUGGGUGAAGAAGGCCUUCGGGUUGUAAAGCCCUUUUGUUGGGAAAGAAAAGCAGCAGGUUAAUACCCCGCUGUUCCGACGGUACCCAAAGAAUAAGCACCGGCUAACUUCGUG